rnacentral:rRNA from 1 species
GUGUCAGCAGCCGCGGUAAGACAGAGGGUGCAAACGUUGUUCGGAAUUACUGGGCGUAAAGCGCGUGUAGGCGGCUUCGCAAGUCGGGUGUGAAAGCCCUGGGCUCAACCCAGGAAGUGCAUUCGAUACUGCGGAGCUGGAGUCCCGGAGAGGGUGGCGGAAUUCUCGGUGUAGAGGUGAAAUUCGUAGAUAUCGAGAGGAACACCGGUGGCGAAGGCGGCCACCUGGACGGUGACUGACGCUGAGACGCGAAAGCGUGGGGAGCAAACAGGAUUAGAUACCCUUGUAGUCC